rnacentral:rRNA from 1 species
AAUGAACGCUGGCGGCGUGCCUAACACAUGCAAGUCGUACGAGAAAGGGGCUUCGGCCCUGAGUAGAGUGGCGCACGGGUGAGUAACGCGUGGGUAGUCUGCCCUUGGAUUUGGAAUAACUCCGCGAAAGUGGAGCUAAUACCGGAUAGUCUGGCUUUUUAACGAAGUCGGUAAAGGAGGCCUCUGCAUAUGCAUUCGUCCGAGGUUGAGCCCGCGUCUCAUUACCUAGUUGGUAGGGUAAUGGCCUACCAAGGCAACGAUGAGUAGCUGGUCUGAGAGGAUGAGCAGCCACACUGGAACUGAAACACGGUCCAGACUCCUACGGGAGGCAGCAGUGGGGAAUAUUGCGCAAUGGGGGAAAGCCUGACGCAGCAACGCCGUGUGAGGGAUGAAGGCUUUCGGGUCGUAAACCUCUGUCAGAAGGGAAGAACGGGCAUUGGUCUAAUAGGCCUUUGUUUUGACGGUACCUUCAGAGGAAGCACCGGCUAACUCCGUGCCAGCAGCCGCCGUAACAC